CUGGUUUUCAGACAGACCCAUGGAUCAGGGGUGUUGUCCCGUGCCCACCUCAGCCUUAUGUUUCUCAACUAUUAGAAGAGUUCUUUGCUACUGCACCGCCAGAAGUUCUUUCCAGGUUUAUACGGAUCACUGGGCUAGCACUCAAACAACAGUUGGUUGGAGACGAGUUAAUUGAUCACGAGCUCAUGUCAGUCAUCAUCAGAAGAUAUUGCCAGGCUGAUCAGGAAGCCGAUAAACAUUCCCCAUACCUGACAUGGAGGCACCCUCUGGAGCCAGAAUUUUCAAGUCUGGUUUUAUCUAAACAAGAUUACUUGCAUACGAUGUCCAUACAGAAGGCACUAGGCGCCAUGGUACUGCAGUAUGACAUCACAUCCGCUCAGCUGGUACGCCACACUAAC